CAGGGAAUAGUUUAAAAAAAAUUUUAGUUUUGGGAAUUAAAGAUAGAAUGGCUAUUUCUUUCCCUGA
rnacentral:tRNA from 1 species